GAAAAAGAUGGGUUCAAGGAACAAUAAAAGACCGAGGAUGAUGGGUGGAAGUGGCAACAAAGUUAAGGUUGAUAGGAAGAUGAAAAAACUUUUCCAAAAACGGGCACGUGAGUAUAAUUCAGAUGAUGACGAUGACGAGGAGAAGGCUCCAACGGUUGAAAAUGAGAGCAAAGUUUUGGUGCGCAGUCAUGGGGAGGAGGUUGGAGAUGAAGAGUUUUCUGAAGGUGAAGAGGAAGAGAAGGAUGUGAAUGCAGAUGUUGAACUGUCUGAAGAUGAUGAAAAUGGUGAAAUUCAACCCGGUAUAACGAAGUUUGUGGAGGGUUGUAGAGCAUUUCGGGCUGCAUUCAGGAGUAUUCUCAAGAAGAGCAUAUCUGAUGAAACUCUGGGUCCUAUAUUAUCA
rnacentral:misc_RNA from 1 species